rnacentral:rRNA from 1 species
UCGAGCGGACAGAUGGGAGCUUGCUCCCUGAUGUUAGCGGCGGACGGGUGAGUAACACGUGGGUAACCUGCCUGUAAGACUGGGAUAACUCCGGGAAACCGGGGCUAAUACCGGAUGCUUGUUUGAACCGCAUGGUUCAAACAUAAAAGGUGGCUUCGGCUACCACUUACAGAUGGACCCGCGGCGCAUUAGCUAGUUGGUGAGGUAACGGCUCACCAAGGCAACGAUGCGUAGCCGACCUGAGAGGGUGAUCGGCCACACUGGGACUGAGACACGGCCCAGACUCCUACGGGAGGCAGCAGUAGGGAAUCUUCCGCAAUGGACGAAAGUCUGACGGAGCAACGCCGCGUGAGUGAUGAAGGUUUUCGGAUCGUAAAGCUCUGUUGUUAGGGAAGAACAAGUACCGUUCAAAUAGGGCGGUACCUUGACGGUACCUAACCAGAAAGCCACGGCUAACUACGUGCCAGCAGCCGCGGUAAUACGUAGGUGGCAAGCGUUGUCCGGAAUUAUUGGGCGUAAAGGGCUCGCAGGCGGUUCCUUAAGUCUGAUGUGAAAGCCCCCGGCUCAACCGGGGAGGGUCAUUGGAAACUGGGGAACUUGAGUGCAGAAGAGGAGAGUGGAAUUCCACGUGUAGCGGUGAAAUGCGUAGAGAUGUGGAGGAACACCAGUGGCGAAGGCGACUCUCUGGUCUGUAACUGACGCUGAGGAGCGAAAGCGUGGGGAGCGAACAGGAUUAGAUACCCUGGUAGUCCACGCCGUAAACGAUGAGUGCUAAGUGUUAGGGGGUUUCCGCCCCUUAGUGCUGCAGCUAACGCAUUAAGCACUCCGCC